rnacentral:rRNA from 1 species
UACGUAGGGUGCGAGCGUUAAUCGGAAUUACUGGGCGUAAAGCGUGCGCAGGCGGUUUUGUAAGCCAGAUGUGAAAGCCCCGGGCUUAACCUGGGAAUGGCAUUUGGGACUGCAAGGCUUGAGUGUGGCAGAGGAGACUGGAAUUCCUGGUGUAGCAGCGAAAUGCGUAGAUAUCAGGAAGAACACCCGUGGCGAAGGCGGCUCUCUGGGACGGUACUGACGCUGAGACGCGAAAGCGUGGGGAGCGAACAGG